rnacentral:hammerhead_ribozyme from 1 species
CUCCAGUUGACGAGUCCUAAAUAGGACGAAACGUGAGUCCUGGAU